rnacentral:lncRNA from 1 species
UGCUGGGACCUCUUGUUGCAACCUUUUGCUUCCCGGUGCUGGGGAUUUUUAUUGUUUUCCUGUUGGGGAUUCCUGUUGUAACCCUCUGUUUUAUUGUCCUCUGACUUGAUCUUGAAACGUAUGCCUCUGUUGUAUGGGCGGGCUCCCAAGUUCAAUGCUAGAAAUAUAAAGACUGAAAUGUAUGCCUCUGUUAUCUGGGCGGGCUCCCAACUUCAACGCUUGAAAUGUAAAGACUGAAAUGUAUUCCUCUGUUAUUAUGGGCGGGCUCCCAAUUUCAACACUUGAAAUGAAAAGACUGAAUGUAUUCCUCUGUUAUUAUGGGCGGGCUCCCAACUUCAACACUUGAAAGUAAAGACUGAAAUGUAUUCCUCUCGUUAUGUAGGUGGGCGCCUGACAUGAAAUUUAAAGACUGAAAAGUAUUCCACUCGUUAUGUAGGUGGGCGCCUGACAAGAAAUUUAAAGACUGAAAAGUAUUCCACUCGUUAUGUAGGUGGGCGCCUGACAAGAAAUUUAAUGACUGAAAAGUAUUCCACUCGUUAUGUAGGUGGGCGCCUGACAUGAAAUUUAAAGACUGAAAUGUAUUCCACUCGUUAUGUAGGUGGGCGCC